rnacentral:rRNA from 1 species
AACGAACGCUGGCGGCAGGCUUAACACAUGCAGGUCGAGCGCCCCGCAAGGGGAGCGGCAGACGGGUGAGUAACGCGUGGGAACGUACCUUUUGGUUCGGAACAACUCCGGGAAACUGGAGCUAAUACCGGAUAAGCCCUAACGGGGAAAGAUUUAUCGCCGAAAGAUCGGCCCGCGUCUGAUUAGCUAGUUGGUGAGGUAACGGCUCACCAAGGCGACGAUCAGUAGCUGGUCUGAGAGGAUGAUCAGCCACACUGGGACUGAGACACGGCCCAGACUCCUACGGGAGGCAGCAGUGGGGAAUAUUGGACAAUGGGCGCAAGCCUGAUCCAGCCAUGCCGCGUGAGUGAUGAAGGCCUUAGGGUUGUAAAGCUCUUUUGUCCGGGAAGAUAAUGACUGUACCGGAAGAAUAAGCCCCGGCUAACUUCGUG